GGGAGCAGGAGGGUCGCUGACAGUGCUAGACACUGAGGAAAGUCCCCUCUCCAUGAUGCAAGCGGUCCGGCGCAAGCCGGAGAUCCGGGAGGGUCGGCUCUGCAACAGAAACGAACUGUGCCGGGAGUACGGUGAACCCGAAGGGGGGAGAUUUCCCGAACACAGCUGGAACGAGCAACCACGCUGGAGCAAGUCCAAGCAGGCCUGUAUGGCAUCAACAGGGCCGGGUAGGAUGCAUAGUUGAAUGCGACUAACCGAAAGGUGAACAGAAAGGGGCUUACUCCCUGCACCC
rnacentral:RNase_P_RNA from 1 species